GACACGGAGGCACUUCCUUCCAGCCACCUCGCGCCUCUUUCGCGGGGACAGGGCCGCGCAGAGCAGCGCUUCUCCACGCCGGAGCCGCCCCAGACCAGGGGACCUCACUAGGUGAAGCAAAAUCACCACUGAAGCAGCACUACUCUCAGUAUGAGCAGCACUUACAGAACAGGCCAUGCAGCAAAAUGCCAGGAUCUUCUAUAGCAGUGCUGGUUGCAGCCAUACUAAGCCUAACAACGGAUGUAUCAUCAUAGAAGAGUCAUAGAAACACUAGGAGCUCCUGCCCGAUUAUUAUUUUUAAACAACUAAAGUUGACUCUGCCCCUCAGAACACAGCUCAAUGCCUGCACAUUUUUAAUGUUAUACUUUGUGUCAUGUAUCCUCUCCCCUUCCUCCCCCUCCCAAUUUUAACGAGACAUGGAAGCUACUGUAUCACAUACCAGAUACUACACCUUGUUAAGUUUUGUAGAGCCUCAUUUUGUAAGUGACCGUGUUGCUGAAGACAUAAAAGUGAAAGAGCAGAAAAAGGCAGCUUCCAGAGAGCAUUUUCCUUGCCAUGGUUGUGAGAGGGGUACUUCUGUGCCAGAAGAGAGACAACUAUUUCAGACGGAAAUUACUGUUUAAUGCACAGGAACAAUAGUAAAGACAACUAAAAUUAAAAACAAAAAUUAAGUUUCAAUUUAUACAGUGAUUAACAGAUCCCACUAACAAAUUUUGCAGCAUUACCCCUGAAACUACUUUUCAGUCUGUCAGAACAAACAUCCCAGCUUUGCAGAAGUUAGACUAGAGAGAUCCUCAGUUAAAUACAAAGCAUAGAAUCGGCACUCUUAGCAUCAGUCUUUAUUGGCUCUGAAUAAAUGCACUGUCUUGAAAGCCUACAAGCUCAGACUAAAAAAGGGCAGAUGAACUGAGUCCCACA